GACGAACGCUGGCGGCGUGCUUAACACAUGCAAGUCGAGCGGUAAGGCCUUUCGGGGUACACGAGCGGCGAACGGGUGAGUAACACGUGGGUGAUCUGCCUCGCACUCUGGGAUAAGCCUGGGAAACUGGGUCUAAUACCGGAUAUGACCAGGGACUGCAUGGUUUUUGGUGGAAAGGUUUACUGGUGCGAGAUGGGCCCGCGGCCUAUCAGCUUGUUGGUGGGGUAAUGGCCUACCAAGGCGACGACGGGUAGCCGACCUGAGAGGGUGACCGGCCACACUGGGACUGAGACACGGCCCAGACUCCUACGGGAGGCAGCAGUGGGGAAUAUUGCACAAUGGGCGGAAGCCUGAUGCAGCGACGCCGCGUGAGGGAUGACGGCCUUCGGGUUGUAAACCUCUUUCGACAGGGACGAAGCGUGAGUGACGGUACCUGUAGAAGAAGCACCGGCUAACUACGUGCCAGCAGCCGCGGUAAUACGUAGGGUGCGAGCGUUGUCCGGAAUUACUGGGCGUAAAGAGCUUGUAGGCGGUUUGUCGCGUCGAUUGUGAAAACUCACAGCUCAACUGUGGGCCUGCAGUCGAUACGGGCA
rnacentral:rRNA from 1 species